rnacentral:rRNA from 1 species
UACGAACUGUGCAAACGUUAUUCGGAUUCACUGGGCUUAAAGGGUGCGUAGGCGGCCAUGUAAGUAGGGUGUGAAAUCCCCCGGCUUAACCGGGGAACUGCGCCCUAAACUGUGUGGCUUGAGUGAGAUAGGGGUGUGUGGAACUUCCGGUGGAGCGGUGAAAUGUGUUGAUAUCAGGAGGAACACCGGUGGCGAAGGCGGGUCUCUGGGCCGAUACUGACACUGAGGAGCGAAAGCGUGGGGAGCGAACAGG